rnacentral:rRNA from 1 species
UACGGAGGAUGCAAGCGUUAUCCGGAAUGAUUGGGCGUAAAGGGUCCGCAGGUGGCAAUGUGUGUCUGCUGUCAAAGAAUGAGGCUUAACCUCAUCAAGGCAGUGGAAACUACAUAGCUAGAGUACGGUCGGGGUAGAAGGAAUUCCUGGUGUAGCGGUGAAAUGCGUAGAGAUCAGGAGGAACACCGGUGGCGAAGGCGCCACUCUGGGCCGAAACUGACGCUGAGGAGCGAAAGCGUGGGUAGCAAACAGG